rnacentral:lncRNA from 1 species
UCACGGGCGUGGGUGAUGGAGAAGGUACCUCCUCCUCCCAACCCCUCCCCCCAACCCCUAUCUUACCCCGGGGAUUUUUUUUUUUUUAUGCAAUCCCGCCAGAGUUAUGAAACAGGGUGGUGGGGGCCGUACGCGCAAGCAGAGGGCGCAAACCCUAGAGCUGGGGCCACGAAGGGCCAACUGGCGGCCCCCGCCCACUCCCAUCCUCUCCCGACCGGGUGAAGGGGCUAAUUUCAAGACUCACUUUGCAUUAUUCAUCACCCCUGCCCUCCCAUACAUAUCUCCAUUUUACUAUCAGCAACACAAAGUACAAGGAUAUACUCAGUUUCACUACAGCUCUUCCCGUUUACAAGUGUGGAGCGCUUGUCUUCGGAACGCCCUUCUGAUUGGCUAAGCCAAUGUCAGUGACAUCAACCAACUUACUUUUGAUUGGAAGGCUGGUUGCUGGGACUGUAGCGUUUGCAGGAAGUCACUUAACUGUUUGCGAGCUGGAAAAUCGAAACGGACGUUAUCUUUUUGUCAUAAGAAAGAACGCAGCUGAGUAGGGAAGGUGUAUCCUACAACUCCGCCAGCUGGAACGUGAGCCAGGAGGCCUGGACCGGCUAAGGGAUUGAGGGGCACUUCCAAAGACGUCCGGCUGCUCCUUUCCAGCCUCCCGGCUGUUACCCUUUUAAAUGUCAGCGUUCGAGGCUGUAGGGGUAGCACGAGGCAUCGAAACGGAACAGUCGGAUUGGCCGCGCGCCUCAGUUCUAGACGCACCUCUCCACCGAAAGGCCGUUCUGACUGGCAGCGGGAGAAAGUAAACAGAGUUGAAUCACCCUCCCCACUGGCCAAUUGGAGGGGGUUCGGAUUGUGACGUGAUGGGAUUCUGCGAAAUUGUUACUGUGCGAGAGAAUGCCGGCACGGUGCGGACCGGCAAGAGCAGGGGCUCAGAAGCUGUCAGUGGACUGGGGGAAAAGUGUCUCUUAGACCUGGCGCUUCGUCCGGCGCUUGCCACCCGCGUCCAGGUGGUUGGGUGAAUGUCUUGGGGCUUUGGCUCGACGGAGAGGCGGCCGAGGGCGUGUACCUCUCUUGCAGUUUCCUCUCUCAGCGCCUCGGGGGCGUUUUCGGUCGAAUAAACUUGCGACCGCCACGUGUGGCA